AAGGAACAACAACCCAAUUUCUAUCAAACAACAUCAACCAACAACACCGAACCACCCUCAAACCACCAAACAAUGGUGAACAUCCGAGAGCUUCUCUCCUCCUUCACUGCAAACCACCAAACAAUGGUGAACAUCCGAGAGCUUCUCUCCUCCUUCACUGCAAACCUCUGAAAAGGAGUAGCUAGAGGUUCAAUGGUCUUUGGGCCAUUCUUGAUUGACAAAGAGCUUGCCUUUCUUGAAAAACUCAAGCCUACUAUAUCAAAAUUUCUAUAAAAGUCUCAAACUUUCAAAUCUCUUCUGAAAAGAUGAUUUUUCUUCACUAAACUAUCACUUUUUUUAAUUCAAAUUUCAAAUUCUCAAUGCUCCUCCAAGGAGCCGUUCUAUUUUUGCCUAUAAAAGGGGUCUCUUUUUCACUUUGAGGAUGGUUGAAGAGUUCGAGUUCAAGUUUGAUUUCGUAUCUCCGAUGAGGAAGCCUCAGCUUCGCUGCCCCACACAAAGUAAAUUCUAUCCCGUCUAAUUACAUUAUGUCUAGUUUUGGCAAUUUUCUGAUCGGUUGAGUUUGUCUCUAUCAUUUGGUUAAUUCUGAACAUAAAUAUGAAAUAAAAUGGAGUUGGUCAUUUUUGUUGGCCGGUUAUGAAUGCAAACUUUGGACAAAAUUGUUUAUCGUGUUCUAGUUGGGAUGUCAACUGGUUAAUUUUGGGCAUAAAAACAUGAAACAAAAUCAGUCCUUGUUCAUUUCAGAUUUUUUUUUUUUUGUUUUCCUACUUGUUUCCUAUUAUAAUUUCCUAUUAGGUGGUCGGUGUAUUAGUCAGUUAUGUUUCUGUAAGGUAUAAUCAAUCUUGUGGUUUGUAUUAUCACUUUUACAUAAAAUGCAGAAAAUUCUUCAUGGUACUUUAGCUUAUAUUACUGUGUGCGUUACGUGAAGCAAAGCUAAGUUUUCCAAGGAUUUUGUCUCUCUCUGCAUUGUUUGUUGGAGUUAGUCUAGAAUCCCAAGUUCGAUACAAAGGUCAAAAUGAAGUUUGAUUUGACUGUUCGGACGCGAUUUAGUUCAAGAGUAGAAAAGCUAUAUUACCAUAGCUCGCCUGAAUUAGCUAUUUUGGUCUUUUUAUUUGCUUACUUAAAACGACCGAAUUAAGGUUUCGUUAUGUUUGAAAAUCUAAAUUAGUUGAGUCUGCUUUUUUUGUUUUUUUCUAGAAGAAAAUAGUUCAGAUUUUAGUGUUUGUUUCAUGACGUGUUCAUAGAAUCAUCUAAAUAAUCAAAAUAUAAAUUCGUUUCUGUCCUGGUAUUCCUUUACUUUUUUGACUCGUUUCUUGCAUCAAAUGGUUGCAGAAGUAAUGAGCUACUCUAUCGGAUUGUGAGAGUCUAUGUUUGCCGUCUAUGCUUGUUCAUUCUUUGUUUGUACUCAUUAACAUCAUUUGAAAUGAUUUGAUUACUUACUAUUGUCUCAAGACAAAAUGCAUAGAACCGAGCCAUAUUUGGGGUGUUCUUGUGUUCAAGCAGUUGUAGUUGUAUUGGCACAUUUACUUUAGGGUGUGUUUGGUAUGAUAGAAAAUAUUUUUCGGAAAAUGUUUUCCGGUUUUUCCUUGUUUGGUUGCAACAAAAGUUUAAGAAAAUAUUUUCUAAGACAACUUAUUUUCCAUCCUUUGAUGGAAAAUGACUUCCCUCAUGGGUCAUGGGAAGUCAUUUUUCAGAAAAUGAUAAAUGUGACUUAUGACCCCACCCCCACCCCUCUUUCCACCCCAACAAAACUUAUAUUCACAUGACUAAAAAAAUUCACAUUUCUCAAAAAUUUACAUUACUCGGAAAUGUUUUUCACUGUGCUUUUCUUCAAUUUUUCACUGCUUGAAAUAAAAAAUAGUGAAGCCCAAAUUUUUUCUAUUUUCAAUUCGUUGAAUAUAUUGUUAUUUUCAUAUGCAUAGAGGAAGACUUACUUAUGUUACUUUUGUUAAUUGCAUAUUUCAUUUUUUUAUCGAUGUAACUUGUUUCACGAGGUUGAAUAAGUUUGUCGUUUUUUUAUAUUUAUAUUAAUUGUAGUAUCUUGAGAUUGUCCUAACAAAAUAUUGAAAAGUAUCUCCUAUAUUUGCUAAUUAAUAGUUGCUUAAAUUUAGUAAUUGUAAUAUUUUAGUAUUCGAUAUUGAUAUUAUUUGUUAUGCUUAAAUUAGUUCUUACAAAUUGUUGAGUUGCUAAAGGUACUGAUAUACCAGUUAACAGAUAGUAGUAUUUUCUAAACAAUAUUUUUUUCACUCACCAAUCGAACAUUAGAAAAUAUUUUUCUAAAAAAUAUUCUCUACUCACCAACCAAACACCAUAAAAUAUUUUCCGGAAAAUAUUUUCCAUUCACCAACCAAACAUGAGAAAAUAAGUAGAAAAUCAACUUAUUUUCCAGGAAAAUAUUUUCCAAGAAAACAUUUUCCAUAGAAAAUAUUUUCCAUCAUACCAAACACACCCUAAAUGUUAGCAUAGUUGAUAAAAUAAUUUGGUUUGAAUCAUCUACUGUCUUAGCCUUUAAAACAUAUAUAUUAGGCAUGGUAACCGUUCAAAUAUGUUAGGCUCUAAAGAAAAUUCAGUGGACAAUAGUUUUCUUUUAUUUUUCUUGAUAGUAGUAUUUACCACCAUUUUCCAAAAAAAAAUACACAUGAAUUUCUUGAUCCUGGUAAAGUUGUUCUAAGCCAAAAUGAUGUGAUUGCAUCUCUUUCUCCUUCUACUGGUAUGAUUUUGUGAAUACCUGAGUUAUUCUAGUCCCAAAUUCUGCAUGAGUCAUCCCGCCUUUCCUUGUUCAUUACUUGUCUCACCUCGUCUCUUCUGUUAGUGUGUGCAAAUGUCUUUUCUGUAAAAAUUGGUGACAUAUGUGAUUGUUGGUAGAUGGGUUUGAAUCACUUACAAAUAGUAUGUGAACGUUUAACUAAAAGUAGAUUCAUAUAAUGUUACACUUUCUUCUAAAAAAUACAAUUUUUGAUUUCAAGAAAUGUUCUUUGGUUGCUCCCUUUUCUAAAUGAAUAGGUGUGUUUGAACUUGAGAAUUUGUGCCACUGUUGAAUAAUUUUUCAUAUGAGUGAUCUCUUAUUACAGUAAUAGAUUUUCGUAGGUGUCCCAUAUGCGUACAUUAAGAUGGUGAAAAAUUCUUACAUGUGAGGGAAACAUUUAACCAAAUUUCUAUAUUGUUGUUUGGAGUGUGUGCUUUGUAUCUUUUGCUAUUGUGUCAUUUAAUUGGUUCUUAAUCUUUAUAUUCUUUUGUUUCAUGUGAAACUUUACUUCUCUGUUCUUGUCUUAUUUCAUGUGCUAUGAGGCUGAUAUGAUUUGAAUUGUUUUCACAUUGUUACUGAGGGUAAAAAACGAGCACUAGAGUUAGAAAUUUGUUCCCUUGCUAGCUUGGAUUUGCAAAUUUCCUUCUAUCAUUUGCAACUCGCUAGUUUACCUGAGCUCUUGUUUCCCUUAUUGGCGUCUCUUUUGAUCAAGUUUAGAGUAAAGCUCCUUUUGCCUUAGACUGAAAUGUUAAAAUUUUUAAUCUACUUCAACUAGUGUUUGCGAUCUUCAAGAUGGAGUUCUAGUGAAAAUAAUUUUGAAUUACAAUGUGCAAAAUCCUUCCUUCCCCUUUUUUGGUCAACUUUGUUGGUAGCUUUCUCACGAACAAAAGUGGUAUUCUUGUUUAGCUUGAUUUUGACGAUGCGCUCGUAAUGCUCUCACUCAUGUGAUACUCUACUUGUGAAUUUGGUAACUAGGACUUUAAUGCUAUGAAUUUUUUUUAUUAACAUAUGGAAUAUUGUAGCUUUUAUCUAGAUCAACUCCAAAUAAAAAAACUCCACAUGACUGUCCACUUGGAUUAUAACCAACUUCCUGAAGCAUUUUUUGUAAUACUUAACCUAUGUCUUACAUUUUUUGAAUCAGUGUAGUUACUAUUUACGUUAUUGAUUUUCUAUUUGACUGCAAAAAAAUAUUAAUGUGUUUAUCACCUAAUUCACUUUGUAUCUCUCAUAAGAUCGAGUAUGUGUCUAAUUCUUAUCUUUUUCUUUGUCUCAUGUGAACUCGAGAGAAGCGAUAAAAGAUGCAUCAUGUGCUUUCAUCUAGCAGUCUAGUGUCUUUUUCCCUCUUUUUAAGCUUUAUUCUUCUUUUAUAGACACUCAUUAUUAUCUUCGUCUAAUAUUUCUCACAUUAUUAUUUGAAAUUUUGUAUUUUGUAUGUCUUAUUUGGAUUAGUGUGAAUAUAAUCUGAUAUUAUAGUAAAUUCAUUUGUUCCCUUUUCACCCCUCUUAGAUUUUAAAUUUAGCGUAUCGCUAAACUUAGGUAUUUAAUUUAUAUUUUAAAAAGUUUAAAAUUUUGUAGGUUAAAACAUACCAUUUAGAGUAGUGGCUGAGUUGUUAGAACCUUUUAAUGCUUUCAUAUAGAAUAAUGACUUUAAUUUAGUCAAACCUUUUCAAUUUUGCAAAUAACUUACCCAUCAAAACUCCAUUUUAUUUAACUCAAUAUAGUUAAAUAUUUACUACUUUUUAUGUUAUUUUUAACGUCAUGUCAAGUGUUUUUUUUUU